CCCUUAGAUGUUCUGGGCUGCACGCGCGCUACACUGAUGCACUCAACGAGUUUUCGACCUUGUCCGAGAGGAUUGGGUAACCUUUUUAAAAUGCAUCGUGAUGGGGAUAGAUUAUUGCAAUUAUUAAUCUUCAACGAGGAAUUCCUAGUAAGCGCGAGUCAUCAGCUCGUGCUGAUUACGUCCCUGCCCUUUGUACACACCGCCCGUCGCUCCUACCGAUUGAGUGCUCAGGUGAAUAAUUCGGACUGCUGCAGUGUUCGGUCACGAACGUUGCAGCGGAAAGUUUAGUGAACCUUAUCACUUAGAGGAAGGAGAAGUCGUAACA
rnacentral:rRNA from 1 species